AUGUCUUCAAGAAACACUUUCACGAUGCUGAAAUGUUGUACAAGGAAUUAAAAGGCACAGUAAACAAAGUACUUUCAGGGAGUGGAUACUCUGAAGUGAACCUCAGCAAGCUGUUUCAGACACUCUCCACAAUAAGCUAGAGCUACAGAUUCACAGGUUUUAUUGUAAAUCUGGAUGACUGUUGUUUUUUUUUUUUGGUUUUUUUUGAACUGGUACCAAAGCAAAAUAUAACUGUUCUAUAUACACUCUAGAACUUGAGUUUGAUUUCUUUAUAAUACAAGUAUGUAAAGAGAUUUUAGGGACUAGCAUUUACAAGUGCUAACAUGCUUUGAAACUUAAACAAGUGCAAUAGAUGUUGGUCACUUGUCUCUCUUUUUGUGAUUUCACUUGAAAAGGCCUUUUUUUUGGGGGGGGGGGUCUUGGAUAGUGAACAUGAUCCCUUUGUUUAACCUGAUGCAUUUGACACCAUGUUGAGAUUUUUUACUUGUACACAGUUGUCCAUGGAGACCCAGGAGAUAAAAGGAUUGCUACUUUAAUAAUUCCCAGUGAGAGUGGCUGAAAUGUAAGCGAUCCUAGAC